ensembl:miRNA
GUGCAAAGGUAAUUGCGGAUUUUGCCAUUACUUUUAACAAAAACUGCAAUUACUUUUGCGCCAACCUAAU